CGAGGUCCGGAAUCCCGGGUCUGGGGUCCUGGCCGGGAGGGUUCAGGCCUGGCUCCUGGGGUCCUGGCUUCGAGCAGGGAGGUGGCCCGGGGACCGGUUUUCGCGCUGGCUCUGCGCGGUGUCUGUCAUCUCGGCCAGGAGUUGCACCCAUACCUCCCAUAAAGGCCUCAAUAUCCCUACCCUAAAUUGGAAGAGUAAGGAGGAUACAUCACAGUUCUGCCACUCAGUAGCUAUAUUACAUUGGUAGGUUCUUCAAUAAUUGAUGGUGAUGAUGAUGGAAAUGGUCUUCCCUGGAUGGAACGUCAUACAUGCUGUUUGAUGACUCAUCAAAAGAGAAGAUCACAGGUGCCUGCAUAAAAGGCCUCUCACCGCUGUGGCCUCUCCCAUUGCAGAGCACAGGCUCCG